CAGUAGCCGCGGUAAUACGAAGGGUGCAAGCGUUAAUCGGAAUUACUGGGCGUAAAGGGAGCGUAGGCGGCGUGGUAAGUCAAACGUGAAAUCCCGGGGCUCAACCCCGGAACUGCAUCCGAUACUGCCGUGCUAGAGGAUUGGAGAGGUAGCUGGAAUUCUUGGUGUAGCAGUGAAAUGCGUGGAGAUCAAGAGGAACGCUCGUGGCGAAAGCGAGCUACUGGACAAUAUCUGACGCUGAGGCUCGAAGGCCAGGGUAGCGAAAGGGAUUAGAUACCCCGGUAGUCCCUGUCUCUUAUAC
rnacentral:rRNA from 1 species